UUCCUUGCUCCCCUUUCCCAGUUCUAGCAGGCCCCAUGGCUCCAGUCCAGUGUUUUCCCUGCGAGAGACGAGGCAGAGCCCCCUGUGAAUUUGGGGCUGCUUUUCCCUCAGGAGCUGUCAGGGGAAGGGGCACCUCGUGCCUUGAAGGCAGGCAAACGUGUAAGGUCAUGCAGGUUGGAGCAUUCUCUUGCCUAAGCAAUCUAUGAAAAUGGCCAUCUGAUGUACCUUGUGGUUGAGCAGAUGCUAUCUUGUUUGGUAAUGAAAUUCUGCCCUGAGUAAUUGGACAUUCUUCCUGGUUCCUCAUAAUUAAGGCAGAAGAAAAGAACAAAAUCUGCUGAUUUGAUACAAGUAAUUGCUUCAUUAAGUUAUUUGCUUCCUUACCAUAACCAUCACCCCAACAGGAGCAGCCUCACCAGAUCAUACAGGAUGAUCCUUUAGUGCUGUGGGGUUUUUGGUGCUUCCUUGUCAGAUGGAAUCACAGGGGAAAAAGGAAACACACAGCUAAAUUAUUUACCUCUUAACCAUAUGCAGUUAAGACCACAGAGGGCCUGGCUGUGCUGUGUCCUAAGCAAAUGAAUCAACCUCUGGAAAAAGCACAGAGAGAGAGAGUGAUGAGGCUUUAGGUCACCACAGCUGCCUGGCCUCCUGCAUCUGAGCAUUGUGGAUUGAUGCUGACAGGCUGAACAUCUGUGUUUUCCUACUGUGGAGGAAGAAGGGCAGAGAGCUGCAUGAAAUCCUGCCCAGUGGCAAGGAAAUGUGAUUCAGGACUGGACUAUGAUGAAGUCAGGGCUUGGAGGAUUUUUGGAUGUGAAUUCCACUGAAUUAUCCCCAAGUGCUGCAGAAAGCAGUUCCAGGUCACUGCCAAUCAGUCCUGCAGAGCUCUGCAUGAACAGCCUGUAUGAUCCAGGAAUGCUAUCAGGGACUUUGAUCAUCGAGCUGAUUCCUAUCUCCCUCUCCAAGAUCUGGGCAGGCAUCUUGCUGUCCUGGGCAUCAGCACCGGGAAUUGGGCACGGACAGUGGGAAUUGUGCCCUGCAAAGGAGCACGGGCUGAGCUGUGCCACCAGCAGCCAGUCUGAGCUCCCCCAGUGGAAGUGA
rnacentral:lncRNA from 1 species